rnacentral:rRNA from 1 species
CGGCGUAAAGAGUGGUUAAGAAAAUAAAAGAAAUAGGGCCGAAGAGUUUCAUUGCAGUUAUAAGCUUUACGAAAUCAUUAAGUACAUUUACGAAAGUAGCCCUAACAAUACUCUGACUCCACGAGAGCCAUAAGACAAACUGGGAUUAGAUACCCCACUAUGUAUGGUUGUAAAAUUUGAUGGCUUGAUACUCAAACCAUUCGCCAGAGAAUUACGAGCACGAGCUUAAAACUCAAAGGACUUGGCGGUGCUUUAGAUCCCCCUAGAGGAGCCUGUUCUGUAACUGAUAAUCCUCGUUAAACCUCACCACCUCUAGUUCUCAUAACCGUCUAUAUACCGCCGUCGCAAGCUUACCCUGUGAAGGUUAAAUAGUAAGCGAAAUUGGUAAUACCAAAAACGUCAGGUCGAGGUGUAGCGAAUGGGGUGGGAAGAAAUGGGCUACAUUCUCUAUAGGAGAGAAUACGAAUGGUGGUUUGAAAUAGGCCGCACGGAAGGUGGAUUUAGUAGUAAGUAGGGAGCAGAGUGCCUUGCUGAAAAUGGCUCUAAAGCGCGUACACACCGCCCGUCACUCUCUCCUAAUGUGAUU